rnacentral:rRNA from 1 species
AUGCAUGUCUAAGUACGAGCACUUGUACUGUGAAACUGCGAAUGGCUCAUUAAAUCAGUUAUCGUUUAUUUGAUCGUACCAUUACUACAUGGAUAACCGUAGUAAUUCUAGAGCUAAUACAUGCGAAAAGUCCCGACUUCUGGAAGGGAUGUAUUUAUUAGAUUAAAAACCAAUGCGGGUUCGCGCCCGGUCAUUUGGUGAUUCAUAGUAACUAUUCGAAUCGCAUGGCCUUUGCGCCGGCGAUGAUGCAUUCAAAUUUCUGCCCUAUCAACUGUCGAUGGUAAUGUAGUGGCUUACCAUGGUUGCAACGGGUGACGGAGAAUCAGGGUUCGAUUCCGGAGAGGGAGCCUGAGAAACGGCUACCACAUCCAAGGAAGGCAGCAGGCGCGAAAAUUACCCAAUCCUGACGCAGGGAGGUAGUGACGAAAAAUAACAAUACAUGGCUUUUCAAGUCUUGUAAUUGGAAUGAGUACAAUUUAAACCUCUUAACGAGGAACAAUUGGAGGGCAAGUCUGGUGCCAGCAGCCGCGGUAAUUCCAGCUCCAAUAGCGUAUACUAACGUUGUUGCAGUUAAAAAGCUCGUAGUUGGAUUUCGGGAGGGUGCGGUCGGUCAGCCGCAAGGUAUGUCACUGGCCGUUCUCUCCUUCUUCGCAAAGACUGUUCGUGCUCUUAGCUGAGUGUGUACAGGAUUCGCGACGUUUACUUUGAAAAAAUUAGAGUGUUCAAAGCAGGCCGGUGCUUGAAUACAUAAGCAUGGAAUAAUGGAAUAGGACUUUGGUUCUAUUUUGUUGGUUUCUGGAACCGAAGUAAUGAUUAACAGAGACAGUUGGGGGCAUUCGUAUUUCGCUGUCAGAGGUGAAAUUCUUGGAUUUGCGGAAGACGAACUAAUGCGAAAGCAUUUGUCAAGAAUGUUUUCAUUAAUCAAGAACGAAAGUUAGAGGAUCGAAGACGAUCAGAUACCGUCCUAGUUCUAACCAUAAACGAUGCCGACUGGGGAUUAGCGGGUGUUAUUGUAUGACUCCGUUGGCACCCUAAGGGAAACCAAAGUUUUUGGGUUCCGGGGGAAGUAUGGUUGCAAAGCUGAAACUUAAAGGAAUUGACGGAAGGGCACCACCAGGAGUGGAGCCUGCGGCUUAAUUUGACUCAACACGGGAAAACUCACCAGGUCCAGACAUAGUAAGGAUUGACAGAUUGAGAGCUCUUUCUUGAUUCUAUGGAUGGUGGUGCAUGGCCGUUCUUAGUUGGUG